rnacentral:rRNA from 1 species
UGGGGAAUAUUGCGCAAUGGACGAAAGUCUGACGCAGCGACGCCGCGUGAGGGAUGAAGGCCUUCGGGUUGUAAACCUCUGUCAGGAGGGAAGAAGUGUGAUCGUGCUAAUCAGCGGUCAUUUGACGGUACCUCCAAAGGAAGCACCGGCUAACUCCGUGCCAGCAGCCGCGGUAAUACGGAGGGUGCAAGCGUUAAUCGGAAUCACUGGGCGUAAAGCGCGCGUAGGCGGCAAAGUAAGUCAGGGGUGAAAUCCCACGGCUCAACCGUGGAACUGCCUUUGAUACUGCUUAGCUUGAGUUUGUGAGAGGAUGGCGGAAUUCCAGGUGUAGGAGUGAAAUCCGUAGAGAUCUGGAGGAACAUCAGUGGCGAAGGCGGCCAUCUGGCACAAUACUGACGCUGAGGUGCGAAAGCGUGGGGAGCAAACA